UACGUAGGGUGCGAGCGUUGUCCGGAAUUAUUGGGCGUAAAGGGCUCGUAGGCGGUCUGUUGCGUCAGGAGUGAAAACUCGGGGCUUAACCCCGAGCCUGCUUCUGAUACGGGCAGACUAGAGGUAUGCAGGGGAGAACGGAAUUCCUGGUGUAGCGGUGAAAUGCGCAGAUAUCAGGAAGAACACCCGUGGCGAAGGCGGUUCUCUGGGCCGAAAUUGACGCUGAGGAGCGAAAGCGUGGGGAGCAAACGGG
rnacentral:rRNA from 1 species